AUUGAACGCUGGCGGCAUGCCUUACACAUGCAAGUCGAACGGCAGCACGGGAGCAAUCCUGGUGGCGAGUGGCGAACGGGUGAGUAAAGUAUCGGAACGUGCCCAGUCGUGGGGGAUAACGUAGCGAAAGUUACGCUAAUACCGCAUACGAUCUAUGGAUGAAAGCGGGGGAUCGCAAGACCUCGCGCGAUGGGAGCGGCCGAUAUCAGAUUAGGUAGUUGGUGGGGUAAAGGCCCACCAAGCCGACGAUCUGUAGCUGGUCUGAGAGGACGACCAGCCACACUGGGACUGAGACACGGCCCAGACUCCUACGGGAGGCAGCAGUGGGGAAUUUUGGACAAUGGGCGAAAGCCUGAUCCAGCCAUGCCGCGUGCAGGAUGAAGGCCUUCGGGUUGUAAACUGCUUUUGUACGGAACGAAAAGGACUGCCCUAAUACGGUGGUCCCAUGACGGUACCGUAAGAAUAAGCACCGGCUAACUACGUGCCAGCCGCCGCAGUAAGAC
rnacentral:rRNA from 1 species